rnacentral:rRNA from 1 species
GAUGAACGCUGGCGGCGUGCCUAAUACAUGCAAGUCGAGCGAAAAGACGAGGAGUUUGCUCCUCUGACGUUAGCGGCGGAGGGGUGAGUAACACGUGGAUAACCUACCUAUAAGACUGGGAUAACUUCGGGAAACCGGAUCUAAUACCGGAUAAUAUAUUGAACCGCAUGGUUCAAUAGUGAAAGACGGUUUUGCUGUCACUUAUAGAGGGAUCCGCGCCGCAUUAGCUAGUUGUUAAGGUAACGGCUUACCAAGGCAACGAUGCGUAGCCGACCUCAGAGGGUGGUCGGCCACCCUGGAACUGAGACACGGUCCCGACUCCUACGGGAGGCCGCAGUCGGGAAUCUUCCGCAAUGGGCGAGAGCUUGACGGAGCAACGCCGCGUGAGUGAUGAAGGUCUUCGGAUCGUAAAGCUCUGUUAUUAGUGAAGAACAAAUGUGUAAGUAACUAUGCACGUCUUGACGGUACCGAAUCAGAAAGCCCCGGCUAACUACGUG